CACGUAGGCACCAAGCGUUGUCCGGAUUUAUUGGGCCUAAAGCAUCCGUAGCCGGUUCUGCAAGUCCCCCGUUAAAUCCAGCUGCUCAACAGAUGGGCCGCGGAGGAUACUACAGAGCUAGGAGGCAGGAGAGGCAAGCGGUACUCAGUGGGUAGGGGUAAAAUCCGUUGAUCCAUUGAAGACCACCAGUGGCGAAGGCGGCUUGCCAGAAUGCGCUCGACGGUGAGGGAUGAAAGCUGGGGGAGCAAACCGG
rnacentral:rRNA from 1 species